UGGUGAUAUACUUUUAACAGUGCAGAAAUUUCUAAAUUUGUACAUCUGUUCCAAAGAUGAGAACUCGCUGCUGUCAUGUGUUAUUGUUCUAUUUAUCGACAAUUAUAACGGAGGAUUUUAGUUAUACACACUGCCAACAGCAAGAUUUAUCACCAUUACUGUAUCUUUAUGGUCUUGGUUCAGGACUCACAAUAGGAAGUUCCAUAUGUCCAACAUGUCCUAAAUGUAAAAAAUGUCAAAUUGUCAGUCGGCCUUUGAUUACUCAAUCAACAGUGACAUGUCCCCCAGCAGUAUCCAUACUGGCAAAUACCAUUGAACCAUGUCAAUGUCCCACAACCACAGGUCAACCUUGUAAUGCAAACGAAUUGCAAUCAUUGAGAGACGAAAUUGUGGACUGGAAUCAUUGUCAAACUAUAUCUAAUACGCAACAAUGUAAUGAUGACCCUAGAUGUUUUCAUAAUGUUAACUGUGGGCCCAAAAUAAAUAAAUGACACCUGUUGGCAUUAUUCUACUCUGGUGAUUUAUAUUUUCCAAUACU